AGAGACAUAGCUUUGUUGGAAGAGUGCUUGCCUUGCAAGCACAAGGCCCUGGGUUCAAUCCCCAGCACCUCAA
rnacentral:tRNA from 1 species